GUCUCUGUGGUGUAGCGGUUAUCAUGCCCACCUAACCCGCAGAAGGAUCUCGGUUUGAUCCCGGCCAGAAACU